GCAGUGCAUUUAUCUCCCCAAUGUAAACCAAUUUGGCUAUAAGGGCCACGGGCUAAGCGAGGCUUCAGGGGGAAGAAAGGAAAACUCCAACCCAGCAGAUGUUUAGUGAAAGGGGGGGAAGACUGCAGCGCUGGGAUGGGUCUGACGAACGGCUGUAUGCAGCAGAAAAGGAAGUGGAACCGUGAGGGAUGAACAAAAAAAGGAGAGAGAGGGAGAGAGCGCCUUGUCCGCGGAGCACGCCGUCCCUGCCGGCGAGAUGGCUCAGGAGAAAUGGACCAAAGACCUAAAAGCUGCCAAUCUCUCCGCCACGGAUGUGCUGCCUGAAAGUGGCUCUCGGCCCCGCAAAGUCACCGGCAGUCGCUCUGCCCAUCGGGGAGAAGGCGGAGCCCCCCGCUGGGUCACACAUUACUACCUGCAAUUCCACGGCACCGGGGGUCCUAUGGUGCUCUUUGGCCCCUGAAAUGGGACAUUAAGACAGAAUCAUCCGAGUUUAGUUGGGGCCAUAGCGAGUUGUUUUAUCUGCGGGAACACACGCGGCGCCUGAGUGUGUUCGGAUGGCUUUUCAAGGUGCUUAUAGCCUGAGGUUGCUGUGAAUGAGGUGUUUGCCCGCUUUUAUCAAUGAGACGUCCCGAGAGAUGAGGACGCCGCUGUUAGGAUGGCGCCGGUGUUGGGAGAUCAAUAAUUGUCCGGGUGUAUUGCUGCAUCACAUCAGUGCCUAACUUUUGAUGUCCAAAGGUUCUUUUUUUAUUCAAUGCAACAUUAAAGUGGAUGUUUGUUUUUAUGUU